GAUGAAGAACGUAGCGAAAUGCGAUAAGUAAUGUGAAUUGCAGAAUUCAGUGAAUCAUCGAAUCUUUGAACGCACCUUGCGCUCCUUGGUAUUCCGAGGAGCAUGCCUGUUUGAGUGUCAUGAAACUCUCAACCUUUUCAGCUUUCUUUGUUGAUCAGGCUUGGAUGUGGGAGUAUGCGGGCUUCUCAGAAGUCGGCUCUCCUGAAAUGCAUUAGCGGGACCUUUGUUGCCUGGCUUUGGUGUGAUAAUUAUCUACGCCAUUGUAGUCAAGCAGCUUAAAAUGAGGUUUCAGCUUCUAACCGUCUCCCCUGAGACAACUUUUUGACAAUUUGACCUCAAAUCAGGUAGGACUACCCGCUGAACUUAAGCAUAUCAAUAAGCGGAGGA
rnacentral:misc_RNA from 1 species